CUUGUGACCAUUUCCUGGAAACCCAGAGGUGGACCUGGCCAGAGCCCAUCAACCUGGAACACUAUCCUAUGCUGGCCUUGGUUAAAAUGAGUUGUCUGUUCAAGGGCUGGACCUUCAGGGUAGUCAGGAUGAGACCCAUGACCUCCGCCUAGGCCACCAGCUUCUCCAUCACCUACACCUAAAGAGGAAGCACAGGGAAGAGGUUUCCUGAUUUGGCAAAAGCAGACCUUGGAAGCAAUCUACAUGCAAGGAAGUGAAAUGUAUCCAAGCAGAUAUUUUAAGGUUGACCUGUGGUCACUUCCCAUGUGGAAACUGAACAGUA